AUAGGGUUAAUAUUUUUGCUGUUUGACAGUCAGUGGUGGUGUUUGAUGGAAAAUGGUGGUGUUUGAGAAUGCUGGUAGGAGUUAGUGUUUGAUGGACUGGUGUUUGAAUGAGAAUGCUGGUGUUUGAUGGAGAGUGAUGGUGUUUGUUAGGGUAUGUUGAAGUCUGAAGUAGAAUGCUGGUGUUUGAAGGAGAAUGUCGGCAUUUGAAGACGAAUGCUGGUGUUUGGCAGGUGCUUGAUGGACACACUGGUGUUUGAUGGAGAGUGAUGGUGUUCGUUAGGGUAUGCUGGUGUUUGA
ensembl:lncRNA